CAAAGGUUUGGUCCUGACUUUACUGUCAGCUUUAGCUAAAUUUACACAUGCAAGUAUCCGCAACCCCGUGAGAAUGCCCUAACAGUCAUCCACGCGAAGACAAGGAGCUGGUAUCAGGCACACCCCUACGUAGCCCACGACGCCUUGCUCAGCCACACCCUCAAGGGAAUUCAGCAGUGAUUAAUAUUAAGCCAUAAGUGCAAACUGACUAGU
rnacentral:rRNA from 1 species